rnacentral:miRNA from 1 species
GAACUCAUCAACCGGAAGGAAUUCCUUCCGGUUGAUGAGGUUUAGCUUCCUCAUUGACCGAAGGAGAGUCCUUCCGGUCAAUGAGGAAGCUAUACCUCAUCGAUUGGAAGGAAUCCCUUCCAGUCGAUGAGGCU